AACGAACGCUGGCGGCAGGCUUAACACAUGCAAGUCGAACGCAUCCUUCGGGGUGAGUGGCAGACGGGUGAGUAACGCGUGGGAACGUGCCCUUCAGUUCGGGAUAACCCAGGGAAACUUGGGCUAAUACCGGAUACGUGCGAGAGCAGAAAGAUUUAUCGCUGAAGGAUCGGCCCGCGUCUGAUUAGCUAGUUGGUGGGGUAAUGGCCCACCAAGGCGACGAUCAGUAGCUGGUCUGAGAGGAUGAUCAGCCACAUUGGGACUGAGACACGGCCCAAACUCCUACGGGAGGCAGCAGUGGGGAAUUUUCCACAAUGGGCGAAAGCCUGAUGGAGCAAUGCCGCGUGAGGGAUGAAGGCCUUCGGGUCGUAAACCUCUUUUAAAUAGGAAGAUUAUGACGGUACUAUUUGAAUAAGCACCGGCUAACUACGUGCCAGCAGCCGCCGUAA
rnacentral:rRNA from 1 species